UACGUAGGUGGCAAGCGUUGUCCGGAUUUACUGGGCGUAAAGGGCGUGCAGGCGGUCUGUUAAGUCUAGGGUGAAAGCUCCCGGCUCAACUGGGAGAGGUCCUUGGAUACUGGCAGACUUGAGGAGAGUAGAGGAGAGUGGAAUUCCCGAUGUAGUGGUGAUAUGCGUAGAUAUCGGGAGGAACACCAGUGGCGAAGGCGGCUCUCUGGGCUCUACCUGACGCUGAGACGCGAAAGCGUGGGGAGCGAACCGG
rnacentral:rRNA from 1 species